UUUUAUGGAGAGUUUGAUCCUGGCUCAGGAUGAACGCUGGCGGCGUGCCUAAUACAUGCAAGUCGAGCGAACGGACGAGAAGCUUGCUUCUCUGAUGUUAGCGGCGGACGGGUGAGUAACACGUGGAUAACCUACCUAUAAGACUGGGAUAACUUCGGGAAACCGGAGCUAAUACCGGAUAAUAUUUUGAACCGCAUGGUUCAAAAGUGAAAGACGGUCUUGCUGUCACUUAUAGAUGGAUCCGCGCUGCAUUAGCUAGUUGGUAAGGUAACGGCUUACCAAGGCAACGAUGCAUAGCCGACCUGAGAGGGUGAUCGGCCACACUGGAACUGAGACACGGUCCAGACUCCUACGGGAGGCAGCAGUAGGGAAUCUUCCGCAAUGGGCGAAAGCCUGACGGAGCAACGCCGCGUGAGUGAUGAAGGUCUUCGGAUCGUAAAACUCUGUUAUUAGGGAAGAACAUAUGUGUAAGUAACUGUGCACAUCUUGACGGUACCUAAUCAGAAAGCCACGGCUAACUACGUGCCAGCAGCCGCGGUAAUACGUAGGUGGCAAGCGUUAUCCGGAAUUAUUGGGCGUAAAGCGCGCGUAGGCGGUUUUUUAAGUCUGAUGUGAAAGCCCACGGCUCAACCGUGGAGGGUCAUUGGAAACUGGAAAACUUGAGUGCAGAAGAGGAAAGUGGAAUUCCAUGUGUAGCGGUGAAAUGCGCAGAGAUAUGGAGGAACACCAGUGGCGAAGGCGACUUUCUGGUCUGUAACUGACGCUGAUGUGCGAAAGCGUGGGGAUCAAACAGGAUUAGAUACCCUGGUAGUCCACGCCGUAAACGAUGAGUGCUAAGUGUUAGGGGGUUUCCGCCCCUUAGUGCUGCAGCUAACGCAUUAAGCACUCCGCCUGGGGAGUACGACCGCAAGGUUGAAACUCAAAGGAAUUGACGGGGACCCGCACAAGCGGUGGAGCAUGUGGUUUAAUUCGAAGCAACGCGAAGAACCUUACCAAAUCUUGACAUCCUUUGACAACUCUAGAGAUAGAGCCUUCCCCUUCGGGGGGGCAAAGUGACAGGUGGUGCAUGGUUGUCGUCAGCUCGUGUCGUGAGAUGUUGGGUUAAGUCCCGCAACGAGCGCAACCCUUAAGCUUAGUUGCCAUCAUUAAGUUGGGCACUCUAAGUUGACUGCCGGUGACAAACCGGAGGAAGGUGGGGAUGACGUCAAAUCAUCAUGCCCCUUAUGAUUUGGGCUACACACGUGCUACAAUGGACAAUACAAAGGGCAGCGAAACCGCGAGGUCAAGCAAAUCCCAUAAAGUUGUUCUCAGUUCGGAUUGUAGUCUGCAACUCGACUACAUGAAGCUGGAAUCGCUAGUAAUCGUAGAUCAGCAUGCUACGGUGAAUACGUUCCCGGGUCUUGUACACACCGCCCGUCACACCACGAGAGUUUGUAACACCCGAAGCCGGUGGAGUAACCUUUUAGGAGCUAGCCGUCGAAGGUGGGACAAAUGAUUGGGGUGAAGUCGUAACAAGGUAGCCGUAUCGGAAGGUGCGGCUGGAUCACCUCCUUUCUAA
rnacentral:rRNA from 1 species